AAGACUAUAGACCUGCGGAGUACCUGCGGAGGGAUCAUUAUCGAGUGUAAUCUACCCCUUUAAAAAAGGGUAGUACCUCCCGUCCUUUGCAGGCCUCUUUUUUUAUUAGGGGGGGCUUUUUAAGACUUUCUGCUUCGGCGGGGUUACUCCCGCCGGAACACCCUCAAAAAAUUCUCGAAAAAAAUCGUUCAGUCCGAGAACUUUUUAAAAAUAAAAUAAAACUUUCAGCAAUGGAUCUCU
rnacentral:misc_RNA from 1 species